rnacentral:rRNA from 1 species
UACGUAGGGUGCAAGCGUUGUCCGGAAUUAUUGGGCGUAAAGAGCUCGUAGGCGGUCUGUCGCGUCUGCUGUGAAAACUCGGGGCUUAACCCCGGGCCUGCAGUGGGUACGGGCAGACUAGAGUGCGGUAGGGGAGACUGGAAUUCCAGGUGUAGCGGUGAAAUGCGUAGAUAUCUGGAGGAACACCGGUGGCGAAGGCGGCGUUCUGGACUGCAACUGACACUGAUGAACGAAAGCCAGGGGAGCAAACGGG